CUACGGGGUGCAGCAGUGGGGAAUAUUGGACAAUGGGGGAAACCCUGAUCCAGCAAUGCCGCGUGUGUGAAGAAGGCCUGCGGGUUGUAAAGCACUUUCGGUUGGGAGGACUGCUUCUAGCACUAAUAUUGUUGGAAGUUGACGUUACCUUCAGAAGAAGCACCGGCUAACUCCGUGCCAGCAGCCGCGGUAAUACGGAGGGUGCAUGCGUUAAUCGGAAUUACUGGGCGUACAGCGCGCGUAGGCGGCUAGAUCAGUCGGGUGUGAAAGCCCCGGGCUUAACCUGGGAACUGCAUCCGAUACUGUCUAGCUUGAGUACAGGAGAGGAGAGUGGAAUUCCACAUGUAGCGGUGAAAUGCGUAGAUAUGUGGAGGAACACCAAUGGCGAAGGCAGCUCUCUGGCCUGAUACUGACGCUGAGGUGCGAAAGCGUGGGGAGCAAACAGGAUUAGAUACCCCUGUAGUC
rnacentral:rRNA from 1 species